rnacentral:rRNA from 1 species
UACGGGAGGUGCAAGCGUUAUCCGGUUUUAUUGGGUUUAAAGGGUGCGUAGGCGGCUUAUUAAGUCAGUUGUGAAAUCCUAGUGCUUAACGCUAGAACUGCGAUUGAUACUAUUAGGCUUGAGUUAAGAAGAGGUAAGCAGAAUUUAUGGUGUAGUAGUGAAAUGCUUAGAUAUCAUAAGGAAUACCAAUAGCGUAGGCAGCUUACUGGUCUUUAACUGACGCUGAGGCACGAAAGCGUGGGGAGCAAACAGGAUUAGAUACCCUGGUAGUCCACGCCGUAAACGAUGAUCACUCGAUAUACAUGAUGCGUUAUGUGUGUCUAAGCGAAAGCGUU